UUAUACUCUUUAAAUGAGAGUUACACUCUUUAGGCCAAAAUUGCACUCUUUAGAUAAACUUUACACUUUCUUUUUCUCUUCUUCUUCCUCCUCUUCCUUCCUCUCAUCCUCAUCUACAUCCUCCUCCACCCCCAUCCUCUCCCAUUUUUUUUUUCUUCUUCUUUUUCUUUCUCAUCCCCAAGCAUCAUCCCCGACAAUUAA
rnacentral:lncRNA from 1 species